rnacentral:rRNA from 1 species
AUGGGUAGUACAGAGGGUUGCCAAGCCGUAAGGUGGAGCUAAUCCCUUAAAGCUACUCUCAGUUCGGAUUGUAGGCUGAAACUCGCCUACAUGAAGCUGGAGUUACUAGUAAUCGCAGAUCAGAAUGCUGCGGUGAAUGCGUUCCCGGGUCUUGUACACACCGCCCGUCACACCACGGGAGUUGGAGACGCCCGAAGCCGAUUAUCUAACCUUUUGGAAGAAGUCGUCGAAGGUGGAAUCAAUAACUGGGGUGAAGUCGUAACAAGGUAGCCGUAUCGGAAGGUGCGGCUGGAUCACCUCCUUU